GCCAGGGCUUCCUGGGCAAAAAUUUCUCUGGUCAGCUUCACACAAUUACGGAAAUCGUGAAUGUCGGCUUCUGUGGAGGAGAAGACACAGGCGGUGACGUGCAACCAAGCAGAGUCCCAUGAAGCCCAAACAGAGAGCAUGCGAGACGGACACAGCUUGCCUCAGAGGCCCCGGGUGUGAAUCGGGGAUCUGGAUUUGAUCUGCACGUUAGGAAUCAUACCUCACACCUUGCCUCUGCCACCGCGUGGCUGUGAGGGCCCCGCACGUUAUUACUGGGCAUGACCUGCCGGAUGGGGAGCGCCCAUUGUUGCUGUGUGCAGAGAGGCAGGCCGGGGAUAGAAUUCGCUUUUAAAGGAUGUUCAGUCACAGCAGGAAAAGUGCUCUGUGAGCUGUGUGUACACAGCCAGGCCGCCGCCUUGAACCUCCGGAGCUGGCAAGCCCUGGGCAGAGUUGGUGCCAUUGGUCCAUUGCUAGUGCUCAGUACCAAGAGCAUCGGCCCUAAGCUGAGACGUACUGAGCAGCUGCAGGGCGGGGCACAGGCUUGUGCACUCCCCACCCUGAAGGCCCUGCUGCAGGGGGGAAGAUGGAAAAGAUGAGACUGUCUGCUCACCUGGUGGGCUCACUGGCACCACAGCUUCCAAUGUCAGCUGCCUGUCUACCUGUCGAGAGUCUUCAGCUUUGCCUCUUCCCCCGACUCCACCACUGAGACUGGACUGUGAGGCCUCGUGUCCCACAGGUAACCCUAACCUGGCCUGUCCUCCUUGUGACCGAGCCCUCUCCCCUCUAACCUCCCACCACGUGUUGCAAUCUCUGGCCCAACUAAUGAGAUGCCUAGUCCAGGCGCCUUUGCACGUACUCUUCCUGCCUCUCAGAUCCCCUGGUCUUUCUCUCUCAGAAGUUAACAUUGAGCGUGGUUUCAUGAUUCUUUCCAUUGUCCCCAUCUGAGUGCUACUGCCGGAGGAUACCUGCCUCCUGGGACUUCUCACCCUCUGGCACUCAGUAAGUUUGUGAGGAACAGGUGCUGAGUGAAUGAAUAGGAUUUCAAAGCACCGUUUCCUGGCCAAACUCAAAGUUAUGGAAACUCAGCAUUUUCCAUUUGUGUUUGUUUUUUUCUGCUUUUAUUUUUCUUUAAAUCGUUAUUGUUG